rnacentral:pre_miRNA from 1 species
UAUAUACUCUCUCCGUCCCAAAAUAAGUGACUCAACUUUGUACUAACUUUGUACUAAAGUUAGUACAAAGUUGAGUCACUUAUUUUGGGACGGAGGGAGUACUAU